GGGUUGUGAGGUUAAGCGACUAAGCGUACACGGUGGAUGCCCUGGCAGUCAGAGGCGAUGAAGGGCGUGCUAAUCUGCGAUAAGCGCCGGUAAGGUGAUAUGAACCGUUAUAACCGGCGAUACCCGAAUGGGGAAACCCAGUGUGAUUCGUCACACUAUCAUUAACUGAAUCCAUAGGUUAAUGAGGCGAACCGGGGGAACUGAAACAUCUAAGUACCCCGAGGAAAAGAAAUCAACCGAGAUUCCCCCAGUAGCGGCGAGCGAACGGGGAGGAGCCCAGAGCCUGAAUCAGCAUGUGUGUUAGUGGAAGCGUCUGGAAAGGCGCGCGAUACAGGGUGACAGCCCCGUACACAAAAGCGCAUGUGCUGUGAGCUCGAUGAGUAGGGCGGGACACGUGGUAUCCUGUCUGAAUAUGGGGGGACCAUCCUCCAAGGCUAAAUACUCCUGACUGACCGAUAGUGAACCAGUACCGUGAGGGAAAGGCGAAAAGAACCCCGGCGAGGGGAGUGAAAAAGAACCUGAAACCGUGUACGUACAAGCAGUGGGAGCACAGGUUUACCUGUGUGACUGCGUACCUUUUGUAUAAUGGGUCAGCGACUUAUAUUCUGUAGCAAGGUUAACCGUAUAGGGGAGCCGUAGGGAAACCGAGUCUUAACCGGGCGUUAAGUUGCAGGGUAUAGACCCGAAACCCGGUGAUCUAGCCAUGGGCAGGUUGAAGGUUGGGUAACACUAACUGGAGGACCGAACCGACUAAUGUUGAAAAAUUAGCGGAUGACCUGUGGCUGGGGGUGAAAGGCCAAUCAAACCGGGAGAUAGCUGGUUCUCCCCGAAAGCUAUUUAGGUAGCGCCUCGUGAAUUCAUCUCCGGGGGUAGAGCACUGUUUCGGCUAGGGGGCCAUCCCGGCUUACCAACCCGAUGCAAACUGCGAAUACCGGAGAAUGUUAUCACGGGAGACACACGGCGGGUGCUAACGUCCGUCGUGAAGAGGGAAACAACCCAGACCGCCAGCUAAGGUCCCAAAGUCAUGGUUAAGUGGGAAACGAUGUGGGAAGGCCCAGACAGCCAGGAUGUUGGCUUAGAAGCAGCCAUCAUUUAAAGAAAGCGUAAUAGCUCACUGGUCGAGUCGGCCUGCGCGGAAGAUGUAACGGGGCUAAACCAUGCACCGAAGCUGCGGCAGCGAACGUAUCACCCAAGACAACUUUACGGAGUUGACGAUUGACGGAGCGAAGCGACGUCAAAGCGUUCAUUAAAGUCGAGUUGGCUUAGGGAUACGUUCGUUGGGUAGGGGAGCGUUCUGUAAGCCUGUGAAGGUGUGUCGUGAGGCAUGCUGGAGGUAUCAGAAGUGCGAAUGCUGACAUAAGUAACGAUAAAGCGGGUGAAAAGCCCGCUCGCCGGAAGACCAAGGGUUCCUGUCCAACGUUAAUCGGGGCAGGGUGAGUCGACCCCUAAGGCGAGGCCGAAAGGCGUAGUCGAUGGGAAACGGGUUAAUAUUCCCGUACUUGGUGUUACUGCGAAGGGGGGACGGAGAAGGCUAUGUUGGCCGGGCGACGGUUGUCCCGGUUUAAGCGUGUAGGUGUGUGUUCCAGGUAAAUCCGGUUCACUUUAACACUGAGGCGUGACGACGAGGCACUACGGUGCUGAAGCAACAAAUGCCCUGCUUCCAGGAAAAGCCUCUAAGCAUCAGGUAACACGAAAUCGUACCCCAAACCGACACAGGUGGUCAGGUAGAGAAUACCAAGGCGCUUGAGAGAACUCGGGUGAAGGAACUAGGCAAAAUGGUGCCGUAACUUCGGGAGAAGGCACGCUGACACGUAGGUGAAGUGAUUUACUCA
rnacentral:rRNA from 1 species